rnacentral:sRNA from 1 species
AAGUCCUCGGCUACAGCAAGGGCCAAAACUGUGGGUGGCAACACCAGAUUCAAUCUCAGGACCCCUAAAAAUAUUUCAACCGCCACAUGAAGUCAGAGGCUCUGUCCAAGGGAAAGAAGUCUCGGCAGCCGUACCCAGGACCCACAGGGGAAACCAAAGGCUUAGGGCUUUCCUGUGUGCGUUUCUAAGGUGAAGACUCGAUAAAUUGCCUCAAGGUCCUGGGGCAAAGCUCAGACCCCAGAGUCGCCGGGCACCGGAAGCUGCGUGAGUCCAACAUCGCCAGCUGCGCUGCCGCCACUCCCCUUUACUGACGCCUUUUCACCCUCAGUGGCUCUGAGCUAAGCUUGGAAAUCACUGCCUCAACCUUUACCCAAUUCCAGAGAGGCUUGGGGAAAUCUUCUCGCUCCCUAAUCUUUCUGCCGCGUGAGAAGCCCCCCCUUUUCUUCUUUCCUAACCAUCCAUCUGCCUCACCUUAUGGUGUAAAGGAAAUGAUUAAAAGGGUUUUCAAAGAGAGGCCACAAACUCGUGCUGAGAGCCCAAAGAGAUGCAAUUGACUUCCUAGCCUUAUGCCAAGUGGUACCUACAAGCGGCCUACUAUCUGACCUACGAAAAAUGAAUGUUGAAAUUUGUACUCUCCAAUUACCAGGUAUUUUCUGCCUCCACUGGGACCAGAACAGGAACAGAAAAGUCUUCAGAGAAGCUUGGCCUGCUCCCACCUCUGAGUGACAGCGAUUCAGCAGAGGGAGCCUCAGACCCUUUCCUGCUCACAAAUGGGCAACCUGAACCCUUUUCAAAUAUGAUGCUAGUGGGAAGAAAGGAGCAGGUAAAUUUCCUCGAGCAAUGCCUGAUGUCAGCUCGCUGGGAUGGUAACAAAAAUAAAUGAAGGUAAAGGAAGAUUGUGACUGUAGCGUAAACUUCACUCGUGUGUGUGGUAAUAUAAACAAUAAAGUAAUCAAGUGGAUGGGGGAUGAAAUACACCUUUUCCCUAAACCAGAAUUCCAGUUAGCAAAUGCAGAAGGAAAGACAGAAAUAGGAAACCACCACUGGAUAGAGAACUUUAAUAACCUCUGUACCAGUUAAAUCUGAAUAAAAGUAGGAGGAAGACCAGAAUUUUCAUAGUUUCUAAGUAUCUUCCCCCCAAAUAUUUAUUCACACAAAGGGAAAGAUGUUAACUUCAUGGUAGAAAGGCCAGGAAGAAUAGCUUAGUGGUCAAGUGCAACACCCAGUCGUAGGACAUUCUGGUACCAUUCACAUCCUGAGACGUGUAUGAGGAGUCACUCAUGCAGGUACAAUACACUGCUACUCUUGCCAAUAAUCCUGAGAGCACAGAACACAGCCCCCCAGCAAAGGACGUUCAGCAAACAACUGUUCUUUAUUCCAACGCGUCUGUGUGAUUGAUGUGGACUCUAGACGGGCAUCCCUGUGGGAAACUGCCUAGAUCAGGCUCACUCGGUUGGGAGAGCCACCCAUGAACGUGAGCUGGAGUCCUGGACUGACACGGACUGAGCACUUCCAGGACCUCCCUCUGCUUCUGAAGUGCACAGGCAAGUGCACGAGGUCAGCUGCCUCAAGCUCCUGCUGUCUUGACCUGCCUGAAUAACGGGCUGUCUCCUCUAACCAGGUCAAAAACACACCUUUCCUCAGGUUGCUUUUGUAUUUUGCUGCAGCACAGUAAUUAACAUAAUGUUCAGAUCAUGGAGGAUAAGGAAAGAUACAUAGGCAAGUUUAGGUUACAGGAGACUAGAGAGUUAAAUGCAUCCUGGGACCUUGAAUUGGAGUGUAGACAAGAUCCUGGACUAGAAAAUCUCAUCAACUUAAAACUCUGUGGGAUUUAAAUGAGACCCCUAGUUUAACAACACUUUACCAGUAUUACCCUCCCAUUUUUGACAGUUGUACGAUGAUCGUAUAAGAUGCUUAGAUCAGCAGAA